GCAAGUCGAGCGCUCUCUUCGGAGGGAGCGGCGGACGGGUGAGUAACGCGUGUGAAUAUGCCCUUCUCUGCGGAAUAGCCUCGGGAAACUGAGAGUAAUACCGCAUACGCCCUUCGGGGGAAAGAUUUAUCGGAGAAGGAUUAGCCCGCGUUAGAUUAGAUAGUUGGUGGGGUAAUGGCCUACCAAGUCUACGAUCUAUAGCUGGUUUUAGAGGAUGAUC
rnacentral:rRNA from 1 species